rnacentral:rRNA from 1 species
AGUGAACGCUGGCGGUAGGCCUAACACAUGCAAGUCGAACGGCAGCACAGUAAGAGCUUGCUCUUACGGGUGGCGAGUGGCGGACGGGUGAGGAAUACAUCGGAAUCUACUUUUUCGUGGGGGAUAACGUAGGGAAACUUACGCUAAUACCGCAUACGACCUUCGGGUGAAAGCAGGGGAUCUUCGGACCUUGCGCGAUUGAAUGAGCCGAUGUCGGAUUAGCUAGUUGGCGGGGUAAAGGCCCACCAAGGCGACGAUCCGUAGCUGGUCUGAGAGGAUGAUCAGCCACACUGGAACUGAGACACGGUCCGGACUCCUACGGGAGGCAGCAGUGGGGAAUAUUGGACAAUGGGCGCAAGCCUGAUCCAGCCAUACCGCGUGGGUGAAGAAGGCCUUCGGGUUGUAAAGCCCUUUUGUUGGGAAAGAAAAGCAGCAGGUUAAUACCCCGCUGUUCUGACGGUACCCAAAGAAUAAGCACCGGCUAACUUCGUG